rnacentral:rRNA from 1 species
GACGAACGCUGGCGGCGUGCCUAAUACAUGCAUGUCGAGCGGACUGAAUGGGAGCUUGCUCUUGUUCGGUCAGCGGCGGACGGGUGAGUAACACGUGGGCAACCUGCCCGCAAGACCGGGAUAACUCCGGGAAACCGGAGCUAAUACCGGAUAACACCGAAGACCGCAUGGUCUUUGGUUGAAAGGCGGCGCAAGCUGCCACUUGCGGAUGGGCCCGCGGCGCAUUAGCUAGUUGGUGAGGUAACGGCUCACCAAGGCGACGAUGCGUAGCCGGCCUGAGAGGGUGACCGGCCACACUGGGACUGAGACACGGCCCAGACUCCUACGGGAGGCAGCAGUAGGGAAUCUUCCGCAAUGGGCGAAAGCCUGACGGAGCGACGCCGCGUGAGCGAAGAAGGCCUUCGGGUCGUAAAGCUCUGUUGUGAGGGACGAAGGAGCGCCGUUUGAAGAAGGCGGCGCGGUGACGGUACCUCACGAGGAAGCCCCGGCUAACUACGUG